rnacentral:rRNA from 1 species
AUUGAACGCUGGCGGAAUGCUUUACACAUGCAAGUCGAACGGCAGCACGGACUUCGGUCUGGUGGCGAGUGGCGAACGGGUGAGUAAUGUAUCGGAACGUGCCCAGUCGUGGGGGAUAACGUAGUGAAAAUUACGCUAAUACCGCAUACGAUCUAUGGAUGAAAGCGGGGGAUCGCAAGACCUCGCGCGACUGGAACGGCCGAUAUCAGAUUAGGUAGUUGGUGGGGUAAAGGCCCACCAAGCCAACGAUCUGUAGCUGGUCUGAGAGGACGACCAGCCACACUGGAACUGAGACACGGUCCAGACUCCUACGGGAGGCAGCAGUGGGGAAUUUUGGACAAUGGGCGAAAGCCUGAUCCAGCCAUUCCGCGUGCAGGAUGAAGGCCCUCGGGUUGUAAACUGCUUUUGUACAGAACGAUAAGGUUUCUACUAAUACUAGGAGCUCAUGACGGUACUGUAAGAAUAAGCACCGGCUAACUACGUGCCAGCCGCCGCGGUAA